rnacentral:rRNA from 1 species
UUGCUCCUCGGAUCAGUGGCGGACGGGUGAGUAACACGUGAGCAACCUGCCUUUCAGUGGGGGACAACAGUUGGAAACGACUGCUAAUACCGCAUAACGUGCCGGAGGGGCAUCCUUUUGGUACCAAAGAUUUAUCGCUGAAAGAUGGGCUCGCGUCUGAUUAGAUAGUUGGUGAGGUAACGGCCCACCAAGUCGACGAUCAGUAGCCGGACUGAGAGGUUGAUCGGCCACAUUGGGACUGAGACACGGCCCAGACUCCUACGGGAGGCAGCAGUGGGGAAUAUUGGACAAUGGGGGAAACCCUUA